CACGGGGGGAACGAGCGUUGUUCGGAUUUACUGGGCGUAAAGGGUGCGUAGGCGGGUUGGCAAGUCGGGUGUGAAAUUCCAUAGCUUAACUAUGGACCUGCAUUCGAAACUGUUGAUCUUGAGUACUGGAGAGGUGAGUGGAAUUCUCGGUGUAGCGGUGAAAUGCGUAGAUAUCGAGAGGAACACCGUUGGCGAAGGCGGCUCACUGGACAGAUACUGACGCUGAGGCACGAAGGUCGGGGGAGCAAACAGGAUUAGAUACCCUGGUAGUCCCGACGGUAAACGAUGGGCACUAGGUGUCGGAGGUAUCGACCCCUCCGGUGCCGCAGUUAACACAUUAAGUGCCCCGCCUGGGGAGUACGACCGCAAGGUUGAA
rnacentral:rRNA from 1 species